GCGCCUCUAGCUCAACGGCAGAGCAGUGGACUCUUAAUCCAUUGGUUCUGGGUUCGAAUCCCAGGGGGCGCACCA
rnacentral:tRNA from 1 species